rnacentral:rRNA from 1 species
GACGAACGCUGGCGGCGUGCCUAAUACAUGCAAGUAGGACGCACAGUUUAUACCGUAGCUUGCUACACCAUAGACUGUGAGUUGCGAACGGGUGAGUAACGCGUAGGUAACCUGCCUAUUAGAGGGGGAUAACUAUUGGAAACGAUAGCUAAUACCGCAUAACAGUAUGUAACACAUGUUAGAUGCUUGAAAGAUGCAAUUGCAUCGCUAGUAGAUGGACCUGCGUUGUAUUAGCUAGUAGGUAGGGUAAAGGCCUACCUAGGCAACGAUACAUAGCCGACCUGAGAGGGUGAUCGGCCACACUGGGACUGAGACACGGCCCAGACUCCUACGGGAGGCAGCAGUAGGGAAUCUUCGGCAAUGGGGGGAACCCUGACCGAGCAACGCCGCGUGAGUGAAGAAGGUUUUCGGAUCGUAAAGCUCUGUUGUUAAGGAAGAACGAGUGUGAGAAUGGAAAGUUCAU